UACGUAGGGGGCGAGCGUUGUCCGGAAUUACUGGGCGUAAAGGGCUCGUAGGUGGUUUGUCGCGUCGUCUGUGAAAUUCCGGGGCUUAACUCCGGGCGUGCAGGCGAUACGGGCAUAACUUGAGUACUGUAGGGGUAACUGGAAUUCCUGGUGUAGCGGUGAAAUGCGCAGAUAUCAGGAGGAACACCGAUGGCGAAGGCAGGUUACUGGGCAGUUACUGACGCUGAGGAGCGAAAGCAUGGGUAGCGAACAGG
rnacentral:rRNA from 1 species